rnacentral:lncRNA from 1 species
GGAGUAGCGCUCACUACCUCCUUUCCCUUUGCAAUUCUAGCACUUUUCCAUCUAGGCUUCUUCACUACCUCCCUUAUCACCUCAUCAUUUUUAUUUUCCUCAAUCUCCACACCUUUUUCUUGUUCAACUUCACCAUUAUUUUUAUUAUUUUCAACUACUUCCUCAUCACUCCACACUCCUACUUCACCGUCAACAUUUUCAUCCACUAUUUUCUCCUCAAUCUCCUUCUCUUUCUCUCUUUUUUCACUCUCCACUCUUUUUUCAUUU